rnacentral:misc_RNA from 1 species
AAACAAACCGCUCGCUAACUAGCUAUUAAAUCAAUUUAAAGUAGUAAAUCAUAUAAAUAAAACAUGUUAAAUAGCGAUAACAAAUUAAAUGAAAAAUGAAAUUAAAGAAGUAGAUUAAACAUUUCAACUUUUCAAAGAAGAGGCACAAUAUUACACAACCAAGGCAAAAGAAUACAUAGCCAACAUACAUGCAAAAACAGUGUCACAAGAAGAUACAGUUGAGGCACGAUAUUUCACAGGUAAGGCGCUAAUAUACAAUAUCCAAUUAAAAAAACUAGGCGAUGAAUUAGAACAAUUAAAAGCUGAAUCCAAGAAUAAAUAAAAAUAUCCAAAAAAGGGGAAACAAACAAUGAAAACAAAUAUUGAAAACGAAAUUAAAGAAUUAAAAAAGAAUUUCAAUUAUCCAACAAAGAGAUACGCGAAAGCAUAACUAAAGCGAAAUCAUGUAUGUAUUGGGCGCAAGAAUACACAGCUAGGGCAGAAGAAGAAGACUUAACCAACAUAAAAGAAGCAAGUUAACGCAACUUGGGGACAAGCGCAUUUAAAAGUGAGCAAGAAUGUUAGUAAAUAAGACGCAAGAAUUAAAAGCAAAAAUAGAAAAACUAAAAAAUGAAUUAAACCAAAUUCAUUGUCAAAAAAUAAUUGAAAAAUUAGAAAUUAAAAAUAUUCUCACAAGUUUAUGACUGGGUAAGAAAGUAUAAUAGCGACGCUGAACGAGAAUUAG